AUUGAACGCUAGCGGGAUGCUUUACACAUGCAAGUCGAACGGAGUGGCGGACGGGUGAGUACUAUAUCGGAACGUGCCCAUUAGCUGCGUAUGACUACUCGAAAGAGUGUCUAAUACCGCAUUCUAUUGUAUCGCCCGCUAGCUGAUGAGCUAGUUGGUGGGGUAAAGGUUCACCAAGACAACGAUCCGUAGCUGGUUUGAGAGGACGACCAGCCAAACUGGGACUGGGACCCGGCCCAGACGCCUACGGGAGGCAGCAGUGGGGAAUUUUGGAGAAUGGGGGAAACCCUGAUCCAGCCAUCCCGCGUGUAUGAUGAAGGCCGUCGGGUUGUAAAGUACUUUUGGCAGAGAAGCGGUAUCAGCAGAAUAAGCACCGGCUAACUACGUGCCAGCAGCCGCGGUAAUUC
rnacentral:rRNA from 1 species